rnacentral:rRNA from 1 species
AUUGAACGCUGGCGGCAGGCCUAACACAUGCAAGUCGAGCGAGCGGCGGAAGGGUGAGUAAUGUAUGUGGAUCUGACUGGUAGAGGGGGAUAACUACUGGAAGCUAUGACUGAUCCCGCAUACUAUCGGAUGAACCCACAUAGAAGGUGCUCGUAGGGGGGGUAAAGGCUCACCUAGGCGACGAUCUCUAGCUGGUCUGAGAGGAUGAUCAGCAACACUGGGACUGAGACACGGCCCAGACUCCUAAGGGAGGCAGCAGUGGGGAAUAUUGAACAAUGGGCGAAAGCCUGAUGCAGCCAUGCCGCGUGUAUGAAGAAGGCCUUAGGGUUGUAAAGUACUUUCAGCGGGGAGGCGUUACCAGCAGAAGAAGCACCGGCUAACUCCGUGCCAGCCGCCGCGGUAAUAC